GACGAACGCUGGCGGCGUGCUUAACACAUGCAAGUCGAACGGAAAGGCCUCUUUCGGGGGGUACUCGAGUGGCGAACGGGUGAGUAACACGUGAGUAACGUGCCCUUGACUUUGGGAUAACUUCAUGAAACUGGGGCUAAUACCGGACAGAAGCUCCUGUUGCAUGGUGGGGGUUGUAAAGUUUCGGGGGUUGGGUGUUGACUCGCGAGUUAUCCGCUUGUUGGUGGGGUAGUGGGUUCCCAAGGCUUUGCAGGGUCACCGGCCGGAGCGGGUGAACGGCCACAUUGGGACUGAGAGACGGCCCAGACAGCUACGGGCGGGAGCAGUGGGGAAUAUUGCACAAUGAGUGGAAGCCUGAUGCAGCAACGCCGUGUGCGGGAUGACGGACUUCGGAUUGUAAACCGAUUUCGUUAAUGACGAAGCUAUGUGUGACGGUAGUGGGUAAAGAAGCACCGGCUAACUACGUG
rnacentral:rRNA from 1 species